rnacentral:rRNA from 1 species
CCCCUGUGAACAUACCUAAACGUUGCUUCGGCGGGAACAGACGGCCCCGUGAAACGGGCCGCCCCCGCCAGAGGACCCCUAACUCUGUUUCUAUAAUGUUUCUUCUGAGUAAAACAAGCAAAUAAAUUAAAACUUUCAACAACGGAUCUCUUGGCUCUGGCAUCGAUGAAGAACGCAGCGAAAUGCGAUAAGUAAUGUGAAUUGCAGAAUUCAGUGAAUCAUCGAAUCUUUGAACGCACAUUGCGCCCGCCAGUAUUCUGGCGGGCAUGCCUGUUCGAGCGUCAUUACAACCCUCAGGCCCCCGGGCCUGGCGUUGGGGAUCGGCGGAGCCCCCCGUGGGCACACGCCGUCCCCCAAAUACAGUGGCGGUCCCGCCGCAGCUUCCAUCGCGUAGUAGCUAACACCUCGCGACUGGAGAGCGGCGCGGCCACGCCGUAAAACACCCAACUCUUCUGAAGUUGACCUCGAAUCAGGUAGGAAUACCCGCUGAACUUAAGCAUAUCAAUAAGGCGGAGAAA